rnacentral:rRNA from 1 species
UACGUAGGGUGCGAGCGUUGUCCGGAAUUAUUGGGCGUAAAGAGCUCGUAGGCGGUGUGUCGCGUCGGCCGUGAAAACCUGGGGCUCAACUCUGGGCGUGCGGUCGAUACGGGCAUCACUUGAGUUCGGCAGGGGAGACUGGAAUUCCUGGUGUAGCGGUGAAAUGCGCAGAUAUCAGGAGGAACACCGGUGGCGAAGGCGGGUCUCUGGGCCGAUACUGACGCUGAGGCGCGAAAGCUAGGGGAGCGAACGGG